rnacentral:rRNA from 1 species
GACAGAGGGUGCAAACGUUGUUCGGAAUUACUGGGCGUAAAGCGCGUGUAGGCGGCUAAGUAAGUCGGGCGUGAAAUCCCACGGCUCAACCGUGGAAGUGCACUCGAAACUGCAUAGCUAGAGUCCUGGAGAGGAAGGUGGAAUGCUUGGUGUAGAGGUGAAAUUCGUAGAUAUCAAGCGGAACACCAGUGGCGAAGGCGACUUCCUGGCCUGUUCUUGACGCUGAGGCGCGAAAGCUAGGGGAGCAAACGGG